rnacentral:rRNA from 1 species
UACAGAGGUCUCAAGCGUUGUUCGGAUUCAUUGGGCGUAAAGGGUGCGUAGGUGGCGCCGUAAGUCAGGUGUGAAAUUUCGGAGCUUAACUCCGAAACUGCAUUCGAUACUGCGUGGCUAGGGUACUGGAGAGGAGACUGGAAUUUACGGUGUAGCAGUGAAAUGCGUAGAUAUCGUAAGGAAGACCAGUGGCGAAGGCGAGUCUCUGGACAGUUACCGACGCUGAGGCACGAAGGCCAGGGGAGCAAACGGG